rnacentral:rRNA from 1 species
AUUGAACGCUGGCGGCAGGCCUAACACAUGCAAGUCGAGCGGAUGAAGGGAGCUUGCUCCUGGAUUCAGCGGCGGACGGGUGAGUAAUGCCUAGGAAUCUGCCUGGUAGUGGGGGAUAACGUCCGGAAACGGGCGCUAAUACCGCAUACGUCCUGAGGGAGAAAGUGGGGGAUCUUCGGACCUCACGCUAUCAGAUGAGCCUAGGUCGGAUUAGCUAGUUGGUGGGGUAAAGGCCUACCAAGGCGACGAUCCGUAACUGGUCUGAGAGGAUGAUCAGUCACACUGGAACUGAGACACGGUCCAAACUCCUACGGGAGGCAGCAGUGGGGAAUAUUGGACGAUGGGCGAAAGCCUGAUCCAGCCAUGCCGCGUGUGUGAAGAAGGUCUUCGGAUUGUAAAGCACUUUAAGUUGGGAGGAAGGGCAGUAAGUUAAUACCUUGCUGUUUUGACGUUACCAACAGAAUAAGCACCGGCUAACUUCGUG